rnacentral:rRNA from 1 species
CCAAUAGCGUAUAUUAAAGUUGUUGCAGUUAAAAAGCUCGUAGUUGAAUUUCGGGAUCAGUACGCUGGUCGUGCCUUCGGUAUGUACUGGUGUUACUGGUUCCUACCUUCUGACGAACCGUCAUGUCAUUAAUUUGGUGUGGCGGGGAAUCAGGACUGUUACUUUGAAAAAAUUAGAGUGUUUAAAGCAGGCUCGCGCCUGACUACAUUAGCAUGGAAUAAUGAAAUAGGACGUUCGAUCCUAUUUUGUUGGUUUCUAGGAUUGACGUAAUGAUUAAUAGGGAUAGUUGGGGGCAUUAGUAUUCAAUUGUCAGAGGUGAAAUUCUUGGAUUUAUUGAAGACUAACUACUGCGAAAGCAUUUGCCAAGGAUGUUUUCAUUAAUCAAGAACGAAAGUUAGGGGAUCGAAGACGAUCAGAUACCGUCGUAGUCUUAACCAUAAACUAUGCCGACUAGGGAUCGGAUGAUGUUAAUUUUUUAAUGACUCAUUCGGCGCCUUAC